UGGCUCAGACGGUAAAGCAUCUGCCUGCAAUGCAGGAUACCUGGGUUCGAUCCCUG
rnacentral:tRNA from 1 species